rnacentral:rRNA from 1 species
UGCAGAAUCCCGUGAACCAUCGAGUUUUUGAACGCAAGUUGCGCCCGAAGCCAUUCGGUUGAGGGCACGUCUGCCUGGGCGUCACGCAUCGCGUCGCUCCCACCAACCCUCCCUUUGGGAUGAUUGGUUUGGGGCGGAUAUUGGUCUCCCGUUUUUCACCAAGCGGUUGGCCAAAAAAAGAGUCCCUUUUGACAGGAACACGACUAGUGGUGGUUGACAAAACCCAGAAUUCUGUUGUGUGUCUUGUCAAGAUGGUGCUUCUUAAUAGACCCAACGCGUUGUCAUGACGCUUCGACCGCGACCCCAGGUCAGGCGGGACUACCCGCUGAGUUUAA